rnacentral:rRNA from 1 species
UACAGAGGUCUCAAGCGUUGUUCGGAUUCAUUGGGCGUAAAGGGUGCGUAGGCGGCGCGGUAAGUCGGGUGUGAAAUCGUUGGAGCUUAACUCCCGAAACUGCAUUCGAUACUGCCGUGCUUGAGGACUGGAGAGGAGACUGGAAUUUGACGGUGAGCGGUGAAAUGCGUAGAUAUCGUAAGGAAGACCAGUGGCGAAGGCGGGUCUCGUGGACAGUUCCUGACGCUGAGGCACGAAGGCCAGGGGGAGCAAACGGG